CCUACGGGGGGCAGCAGUGGGGAAUCUUGCGCAAUGGGCGAAAGCCUGACGCAGCGACGCCGCGUGUGGGAUGAAGGUCUUCGGAUCGUAAACCACUGUCGCGAGGGACGAAUUCAUUGACGGUACCUCGAAAGGAAGCACCGGCUAACUCUGUGCCAGCAGCCGCGGUAAUACAGAGGGUGCGAGCGUUGUCCGGAAUCACUGGGCGUAAAGGGCGCGUAGGUGGCUCUGUAAGUCGGGGGUGAAAUGCUGCGGCUCAACCGCAGCGCUGCCUUCGAGACUGCAGGGCUUGAGCACGGUAGAGGCCGAUGGAAUUCCCGGUGUAGCGGUGGAAUGCGUAGAGAUCGGGAAGAACACCAAUGGCGAAGGCAGUCGGCUGGGCCGUUGCUGACACUGAGGCGCGACAGCGUGGGGAGCAAACAGGAUUAGAUACCCCAGUAGUC
rnacentral:rRNA from 1 species